AUUGAACGCUGGCGGCAUGCUUUACACAUGCAAGUCGAACGGCAGCGCGGGCUUCGGCCUGGCGGCGAGUGGCGAACGGGUGAGUAAUACAUCGGAACGUGCCCAGUAGUGGGGGAUAGCUCGGCGAAAGCCGGAUUAAUACCGCAUACGACCUGAGGGUGAAAGCGGGGGAUCUUCGGGCCUCGCGCUAUUGGAGCGGCCGAUGGCAGAUUAGCUAGUUGGUGGGGUAAAGGCCUACCAAGGCGACGAUCUGUAGCUGGUCUGAGAGGACGACCAGCCACACUGGGACUGAGACACGGCCCAGACUCCUACGGGAGGCAGCAGUGGGGAAUUUUGGACGAUGGGCGAAAGCCUGAUCCAGCAAUGCCGCGUGUGUGAUGAAGGCCUUCGGGUUGUAAAGCACUUUUGGCGGGAACGAAAAGGACUGUGCCAAUACCACGGUUCGAUGACGGUACCCGCAGAAUAAGCACCGGCUAACUACGUG
rnacentral:rRNA from 1 species